rnacentral:rRNA from 1 species
GGUUGAUCCUGCCAGUAUAAUAUGCUAAUCUUAAAGAUUAGGCCAUGCAUGUGUAAGUACAAGCAAGCUGUACUGUGAAACUGCGAAUGGCUCAUUAAAACAGUUAUAAUUUAUUUGAUUAUUACCUUACUACAUGGAUAACCGUGGCAAAUCCAGAGCUAAUACAUGCACAAAAUCUCGACUUCAAUUUAUUUUGAGGAAGAGACGUAUUUAUUAGAUACAAAACUAACCCAGAAGCUUCGUGUUUUUGGUUUUUGUUGAUGAUUCAUAAUAACUGUCGUAUCGCAACGGCUAAUUGCCGGCGAAAGGUCAUUCAAAUUUCUGACUUAUCAGCUUUCGUUGGUGAGAUAGAGGCUCACCAAGGCGUUAACGGGUAACGGAGAAUUAGGGUUCGAUUCCGGAGAGGGAGCCUGAGAAAUGGCUACCACAUCCAAGGAUAGCAGCAGGCGCGAAAAUUACCCAAUCCCGACAAGGGGAGGUAGUGACAAAAAAUAACGAUGCGGACUCUUUUAGGGUUUGCAAUUGGUAUGAGAACAAUGUAAAUACUUGUAUCGAAAGCAACUGGAGGGCAAGUCUGGUGCCAGCAGCCGCGGUAAUACCAGCUCCAGAGGCGUAUUAUAAAGUUGCUGCAGUUAAAAAGCUCGUAGUUGGAUUUCUGACCUUGAGAAGUUUGUCUCGGCUCGUAUGAGUCUUGCAGAUUGAACUUCUCGGUCAUCUUUCGAAGUGACCAUUUUGAAUUCUUCAUUGUAAUUCAGGAUGUGAACUCGAUCAUUUACUUUGAAAAAAUUAGAGUGUUCAAAACAGGCUGACGCUUGAAUAGAUUAGCAUGGAAUAAUAAGAUAGGACUUUGGUCCUGUUUUGUUGGUUUCUGGACUAAAGUAAUGAUUGAUAGGGAAAACUGGGGGUGCUUGUAUUCAUUAGCCAGAGGUGAAAUUCAAUGAUUCAAUGAAGACAAACUUAUGCGAAAGCAUUCACCAAGGAUUUCUUCUUUAAUCAAGAACGAAAGUUGGGGGAUCGAAGACGAUCAGAUACCGUUGUAGUCCCAACCAUAAACUAUGUCGACUAGGGAUUGGUCAACGUUUGUUUUAUUUGACUUGAUCAGCACCUUAUGAGAAAUCAAAGUCUUUAGACUCCGGGGGGAGUAUGGUCGCAAGGCUGAAACUUAAAGGAAUUGACGGAAGACCACCACCAGGAGUGGAGCCUGCGGCUUAAUUUGACACAACACGGGAAAACUCACCAGGUCAGACACGAUGAGGAUUGACAGAUUGAAGAUCUUUCUUGAUUUCGUGAAUGGUGGUGCAUGGCCGUUUUUAGUUGGUGGAGUGAUUUGUCUGCUUAAUUGCGAUAACGAACGAGACCUCAGCCUGCUAAUUAGAAGGGUGAAUCGA